UACGAGGGGGGCGAGCGUUGUCCGGAGUUACUGGGCGUAAAGCGCUUGUAGGCGGUCCACCAAGUUUGGGGUGACAGUUGCCGACUUAAUCGGCAAAGUGCCUCAAAGACUGGCGGACUUGAGGGCCACAGAGGGACAUGGAACUCCAGGUGUAGUGGUGAAAUGCGUAGAUAUCUGGAAGAACACCAAAGGCGAAGGCAGUGUCCUGGGUGGUCGCUGACGCUGAGAGGCGAAAGCCAGGGGAGCGAACGGG
rnacentral:rRNA from 1 species